UACAGAGGUCUCAAGCGUUGUUCGGAUUCAUUGGGCGUAAAGGGUGUGUAGGUGGCGCUGUAAGUCGGGUGUGAAAUUUCGGGGCUUAACUCCGAAACUGCAUUCGAUACUGCCGUGCUUGAGGACUGGAGAGGAGACUGGAAUUUACGGUGUAGCGGUGAAAUGCGUAGAUAUCGUAAGGAAGACCAGUGGCGAAGGCGGGUCUCUGGACAGUUCCUGACGCUGAGGCACGAAGGCCAGGGGAGCAAACGGG
rnacentral:rRNA from 1 species